GUUAAGCGACUAAGCGUACACGGUGGAUGCCCUGGCAGUCAGAGGCGAUGAAGGGCGUGCUAAUCUGCGAUAAGCGCCGGUAAGGUGAUAUGAACCGUUAUAACCGGCGAUACCCGAAUGGGGAAACCCAGUGUGAUUCGUCACACUAUCAUUAACUGAAUCCAUAGGUUAAUGAGGCGAACCGGGGGAACUGAAACAUCUAAGUACCCCGAGGAAAAGAAAUCAACCGAGAUUCCCCCAGUAGCGGCGAGCGAACGGGGAGGAGCCCAGAGCCUGAAUCAGCAUGUGUGUUAGUGGAAGCGUCUGGAAAGGCGCGCGAUACAGGGUGACAGCCCCGUACACAAAAGCGCAUGUGCUGUGAGCUCGAUGAGUAGGGCGGGACACGUGGUAUCCUGUCUGAAUAUGGGGGGACCAUCCUCCAAGGCUAAAUACUCCUGACUGACCGAUAGUGAACCAGUACCGUGAGGGAAAGGCGAAAAGAACCCCGGCGAGGGGAGUGAAAAAGAACCUGAAACCGUGUACGUACAAGCAGUGGGAGCCCCACCACUAAGCCAGUGGUGAACUCCACAUCCGCAUCCUUUGCUGAGGAUACGGUUAACGGAGCGAAAGCGACGUUCAACCGCAAAACAAGCAGAGGGGGCUUAGUGGUGGGGUGACUGCGUACCUUUUGUAUAAUGGGUCAGCGACUUAUAUUCUGUAGCAAGGUUAACCGUAUAGGGGAGCCGGAGGGAAACCGAGUCUUAACCGGGCGUUAAGUUGCAGGGUAUAGACCCGAAACCCGGUGAUCUAGCCAUGGGCAGGUUGAAGGUUGGGUAACACUAACUGGAGGACCGAACCGACUAAUGUUGAAAAAUUAGCGGAUGACCUGUGGCUGGGGGUGAAAGGCCAAUCAAACCGGGAGAUAGCUGGUUCUCCCCGAAAGCUAUUUAGGUAGCGCCUCGUGAAUUCAUCUCCGGGGGUAGAGCACUGUUUCGGCUAGGGGGCCAUCCCGGCUUACCAACCCGAUGCAAACUGCGAAUACCGGAGAAUGUUAUCACGGGAGACACACGGCGGGUGCUAACGUCCGUCGUGAAGAGGGAAACAACCCAGACCGCCAGCUAAGGUCCCAAAGUCAUGGUUAAGUGGGAAACGAUGUGGGAAGGCCCAGACAGCCAGGAUGUUGGCUUAGAAGCAGCCAUCAUUUAAAGAAAGCGUAAUAGCUCACUGGUCGAGUCGGCCUGCGCGGAAGAUGUAACGGGGCUAAACCAUGCACCGAAGCUGCGGCAGCGAACGUAUCACCCAAGACAACUUUACGGAGUUGACGAUUGACGGAGCGAAGCGACGUCAAAGCGUUCAUUAAAGUCGAGUUGGCUUAGGGAUACGUUCGUUGGGUAGGGGAGCGUUCUGUAAGCCUGUGAAGGUGUGUCGUGAGGCAUGCUGGAGGUAUCAGAAGUGCGAAUGCUGACAUAAGUAACGAUAAAGCGGGUGAAAAGCCCGCUCGCCGGAAGACCAAGGGUUCCUGUCCAACGUUAAUCGGGGCAGGGUGAGUCGACCCCUAAGGCGAGGCCGAAAGGCGUAGUCGAUGGGAAACGGGUUAAUAUUCCCGUACUUGGUGUUACUGCGAAGGGGGGACGGAGAAGGCUAUGUUGGCCGGGCGACGGUUGUCCCGGUUUAAGCGUGUAGGUGUGUGUUCCAGGUAAAUCCGGUUCACUUUAACACUGAGGCGUGACGACGAGGCACUACGGUGCUGAAGCAACAAAUGCCCUGCUUCCAGGAAAA
rnacentral:rRNA from 1 species